rnacentral:rRNA from 1 species
CCUACGGGGGGCAGCAGUGGGGAAUAUUGCACAAUGGGGGAAACCCUGAUGCAGCGACGCCGCGUGAGCGAUGAAGUAUUUCGGUAUGUAAAGCUCUAUCAGCAGGGAAGAAAAUGACGGUACCUGACUACGAAGCCCCGUCUAACUCCGUGCCAGCACCCGCGGGAAUACGUAGGGGGCAAGCGUGAUCCGGAUUUACUGGGUGUAAAGGGAGCGUAGACGGCGGUGCAAGCCAGAUGUUAAAGCCCGGGGCUUAACCCCGGGACUGCAUUUGGAACUGUGCUGCUAGAGUGUCGGAGAGGCAGGCGGAAUGCCUAGUGUAGCGGUGAAAUGCGUAGAUAUUAGGAGGAACACCAGUGGCGAAGGCGGCCUGCUGGACGAUGACUGACGCUGAGGCUCGAAAGCGUGGGGAGCAAACAGGAUUAGAUACCCUAGUAGUC